ACCUGAUUGGCUGAGCUGGUGAAGCAUCCAACUGUUGAUUUGGGGUUGUGAGUUUGAACCCCACAUUGGGUA
rnacentral:tRNA from 1 species